GAUGAACGCUGGCGGCGUGCCUAAUACAUGCAAGUCGAGCGAACAGACGAGGAGCUUGCUCCUUUGACGUUAGCGGCGGACGGGUGAGUAACACGUGGAUAACCUACCUAUAAGACUGGGAUAACUUCGGGAAACCGGAGCUAAUACCGGAUAACAUGUUGAACCGCAUGGUUCAACAGUGAAAGACGGUCUUGCUGUCACUUAUAGAUGGAUCCGCGCCGCAUUAGCUAGUUGGUAAGGUAACGGCUUACCAAGGCAACGAUGCGUAGCCGACCUGAGAGGGUGAUCGGCCACACUGGAACUGAGACACGGUCCAGACUCCUACAGGAGGCAGCAGUAGGGAAUCUUCCGCAAUGGGCGAAAGCCUGACGGAGCAACGCCGCGUGAGUGAAGAAGGUCUUCGGAUCGUAAAACUCUGUUAUUAGGGAAGAACAAAUGUGUAAGUAACUAUGCACGUCUUGACGGUACCUAAUCAGAAAGCCACGGCUAACUACGUG
rnacentral:rRNA from 1 species